GAUGAACGCUGGCGGCGUGCCUAAUACAUGCAAGUCGAGCGAACGGACGAGAAGCUUGCUUCUCUGAAGUUAGCGGCGGACGGGUGAGUAACACGUGGAUAACCUACCUAUAAGACUGGGAUAACUUCGGGAAACCGGAGCUAAUACCGGAUAAUAUUUUGAACCGCAUGGUUCAAAAGUGAAAGACGGUCUUGCUGUCGCUUAUAGAUGGAUCCGCGCUGCAUUAGCUAGUUGGUAAGGUAACGGCUUACCAAGGCAACGAUGCAUAGCCGACCUGAGAGGCGGAGACGGAAGACGGGGAGGAGGAAAAGGACCAGAAGGAUAAGGGAGGAAGAAGAGGGGAAUAUUGGAAAAGGGGAGAAAGAAUGAUAUAGCAAUGACGCGGGAGAGAUGAAGGCAUUAGGGGUGGAAAGCUCUUUUACCCGGGAUGAUAAUGACAGUACCGGGAGAAUAAGCGCCGGCUAACUCCGUG
rnacentral:rRNA from 1 species